GCGAGGCUCUUCCGGUUGAGGUCUGAGCGGUAGUGGCCUUCCUUCUCCCUGGAAACUGCCUCCCUUGGAGGUUGAGCUCCCUGGGCCGACUCUGGCCGGUGUUCUCCUCUGUGUCCUUGUGGGCUCUUAGGACUCCCUACAGGGAGGGUGUUUCCCCUGCCUCUUCCCAGCUAGUCUUUCUGACUUCCGGCAGCUGGCAUGCUCUGAACCUGGCUCUAGGCUUCCUGACACAGUGUCCCUUCCAGUCAGCUCUGAGUUGGGGCAGGGCCAGCCCCAGGGCAGGGCACCCAAGCAGGCAGGGAGCUGGCUGGGAGCCCUGGCUUUCUCUUGCCUGGUGCUGCGGGGUAAGCGACUUCCUGUGACCUGGAGGGAACACGUGCUGGCCCCCGUGGGUGGGGACGCGUUCCCUCCCCAGGUCUGUGCUGCUCUCCUCUGUCC
rnacentral:lncRNA from 1 species